GAUGAAGAACGUAGCGAAAUGCGAAAAGUAGUGUGAAUUGCAGAAUUCAGUGAAUCAUCGAAUCUUUGAACGCACAUUGCGCCCCUUGGUAUUCCAUGGGGCAUGCCUGUUCGAGCGUCAUUUCAACCCUCGAGCCCCCCCGGGGGCCUCGGUGUUGGGGGACGGCACACCAGCCGCCCCCGAAAUGCAGUGGCGACCCCGCCGCAGCCUCCCCUGCGUAGUAGCACACACCUCGCACCGGAGCGCGGAGGCGGUCACGCCGUAAAACGCCCAACUUUCUUAGAGUUGACCUCGGAUCAGGUAGGAAUACCCGCUGAACUUAAGCAUAUCAAUAAGCGGAGGA
rnacentral:misc_RNA from 1 species